rnacentral:rRNA from 1 species
UACAGAGGUCUCGAGCGUUGUUCGGAUUCAUUGGGCGUAAAGGGUGCGUAGGCGGCGUGGCAAGUCUGAUGUGAAAUCCCGGGGCUCAACCCCGGAACUGCAUUGGAUACUGCCAUGCUAGAGUACUGGAGAGGAGAUUGGAAUUUACGGUGUAGCAGUGAAAUGCGUAGAUAUCGUAAGGAAGACCAGUGGCGAAGGCGAAUCUCUGGACAGUUACUGACGCUGAGGCACGAAGGCCAGGGGAGCAAACAGG